UAUACUGCCCAGUUCGCUUCAGUGCCACAUACCAACUGGAGUAUUUCCUUGACCGGUAAGUAUUGUAGUUAUUAGAUUCCAAUCGUUCAAAAAAGAAACACUCGUCUGUAACACAUUUCUGAAAAACAAAGGAAAAAUUAGUAGUUGUUGUCAUACUUUUCAGGUUAAAUAUUUAAUGACAGUACACAGUGCUUUGGGUUCAACAGGACGAUCAAACUAGUGAGACUCAACAGGCCAAAAUCUGACACAAUCUGAGUCUGCAGAAAGACACAGGACAGGAACACAGCGUAUCAGCAGGACAGUUUCAAGCACAUUUCUUCGGAGGAGCAGUCCAAGGACCAUUCUCCAGCCCCACGAUGGACAGGUCAGGUGCUAGGCAGCAGGAGCACACAGGUGGUGUAGGAACCACACUGGCUCAGACUUGAAACAUCCCAUGAACAUAGAUUUCAGUGGUCUCCAAAAGGGACAUACAUCCAGUAACAAGAAAGACCUAAAAGUGAUUAAUAGCUCCUGUAGUCGGCUUCUAGAGAUAAGAAUUUUACUGGAUAUUUACUUGGCUUUAAUGUUUUGACUACUGUUAACUGAACUUUUAAAAACUGAAAUGCAAACUUAUCUAGUUUGCUCUUUUUUUUUUUUUUGUAACUUACUAAGAAAGUAACUUAAGUGCAAAUAAAUCACAGGUAGCCUUACAAAGAAGCACACAUUGCACGAGGACCCAGCUAUACGAUACCCAGGACUGUCUCAUGAGUUUCAAAGAGAUUCAAAUGUAAUAACAGUGGCACGGAUACUCUGCAGCCAAUACUUGCUACCUUUGGUGAAAUUAUUGUGCUUCCUUUGUUAACUGAAGUUAACCUGGUUUACUCUAUCUUGUCACUUUUUAGUGCCACCAAUAAAAAUCUUCCUCUUUCUCUAUUCCAGGUUUAAGGUCAGGAGUUGAAAAGUAAAGAGUGAAAGGAAAAGGCAUGUAAUCAUAAAGAUAACAUGAAAGGUCAGCACUGAGCUUCAUGGGCUAAUUUCCCAGAAAUAGACCUAAACCACAUCAGUCAGUUAUCCUCAGGACGUUGAUAUGCUCAUUUUUUGGUGUUCAGUCAGCCUACAGGGUGCCCCACCUUGCUAGUUAGCACUCCCUAUAAUGCUUGGCCAACUGGGAUACAUACCAUGCCAGUAAUAUUUGCCUUCUCAGCCAGUUGCUAGUAUUUUAGAGAAAAGAAAUAGUACCAGGGAUUAAGUGGAUAAUAUUGAUACAUUAUGGAAACCACAGUUUGUUUUUUUUUUUAAAAAAAACAGAGGUUACUUGUACCUUUUUACACAGAGGGGAGAGAAGGAAAUUGUGCCUCUGUGCUGAACAUUCAGACAUGUAAGUUUACUAAACAGCUAAUGUGCACUUGAAAACAAACUGCACUUUUUUAAUGGGUAGUAGAGCCAAAAUUCAGUCUCAAUAAAAGCAUGCAUCUAACAUCCCAUUUUAAGCAAUUUUCAGUUCUCUCCAUCCUAAGUUUACAAAUCAUCUUCAUUGGUUGUGAUGUCAAUAAUCCUGUUAAAAACGGAUGCAGUGUAAUUUUUUUAACCUUUAUAAACAUAUUCACAGAGCUUUUUUCCUAUACUCAAUGUUUAACUGCUCACCAUUUCAAACUUAAGAGAAAAGGAGAUCUUCAGAGGACAUCACAGAGGAAGUGGGCGCUGGGAUACAUCAGUGAACAAAACUGAACAAAGAUCCCUGCCUUUGUGCUGGUCCGAUUCUCACUGGGGGAGACACAAAAUAAGCAUUGUCUCUUCCCAUUGUCACCUGAGUGAGGUCCCUGCUGACAUCCCCAGCUACAGUGUCUUUCAUCAUCAGUGAUUCGUCUCAACCUGUUAAACAGUGGAACAGAUGCUAUUAAUAGCCAAGGGUCAAGACUUUUAAUUUCUUGCCUGAAAGUUGCUAUUGUUGACAGCUCAGUGCCUAUGGAUCUGACUCAGAGGAAAAUAUGCCACCUCCUGAAUCAACACCACCUCCUUGGUUUGGGGGUAAGUGUCCCUUAUUUCAGGGAUACUUACUUUUUCAUCUGAAAAUUGACACAGCCCACCCAGACUAAUCUGAAAAAGGAUUGCUGCUGAAGAGGCAAGGCAGCGAGCCACACAAAUUGAAUGAUGAACCUGUGUUCUCAAGAUAAAUAACCCCUCCAAUGACUAUCUUACAGGGCCACCAUGAUUACCAGAUUACUGGAUCUUCUAAUCUCUUUAAGUGGAAAACCACAGGGUAACGAUCUGAAGUCACAAGACAGACAUAGCAAAGUCUAGAGCUUUAAAACCAUUUUGACUAGUGCCAAUUUGACUAGCGUUGUCCAUAGUUGAGACAGAAGCAAAUGUUGUAUGUAUUUACUUUCUUUCCUCUACCACCUUUACUGUCUGACAGUAGCCAAAUCAACACUAUUGCAGGAGACAAAGUGAUGCACACUGUGUUUUGUUACAUCCCGAGGUGAGAAGAGUAGGGUUAUCCCCUCUUCUCUCUACAAGGUCAAGGUCAUCCAAAAUUACCCAUUGAUUCACUGUCCUGGAAAUACUUUAAAUGCUAUUUCAGUAGAUUCCCAAAGUAUUACAUCAUCCCUUGAGAUGACAACAGGCUGGUAGAAAAAAAAAAACAGUGGAAGAAGUGAAAGUUCCAAGUAGUCAGCCUUUCAUAGCUAUGCUUUUUUUGCCUAGGAAACCUCAUCCAUUUCCCCUGCUUUAGCCGCCGCAUAUAUGCUCAUGACGCCCAAAUCUAUUAUCGACACAACACCUCUCCUCUAAACUCCAGACCCCAACUCCAACUAUGUAGUGAACAUCUUCACCUGAAUUUCUUAGGCACCUCAAACUAGAUAAGACCAAAUAAAUGUGAGCCUGUCUUACCUUUUCCCAGAACUUGCUCUUUUCCUCUUCCCCUUUCUCAUCUACCUCCUCAUCCAAACUAGAAACCUGGAUGUCAUCUUUGACUCUUUCCUCGACUCUACUCGUAACUCGGGUCAGCCUCAGUGCUCACACUUUACUCCAUCCUCUUCAUCCUGUCACUGCCAGGUUCUGAUCAUCACUUGCUUGGACUAUUCCCAUGGCCUUCUAACUGGCCUGUCUCCACCAGCCUUGGACCCCUCAAAUCCGUCCUCUGCGCUGCUGCCAGAGAGCUCUUUCUUGAAUUCAAAUCUCAUGUGUCUCUUAAAACGCUUUAUGGCUUCCCACUGCCGAGAGCAGCAUGGUGCUAUCAGGUACUUCAGCGGGCAGUUUACCUGCUUCUCCGGCCUCAUCUUUUCCCCUCUACCUUCUGUUGCCUUUGCACCUUACACUCCAGCAGGAGUGAAUUGUAAUUCUGGAGAAACCCCUAGUAAGCCUUCCGCAUCCAUGCCUGUGCCAUGUCCUAGAAUUAUCUAUAUCCUGAUCUCCAUUCCUCUGUUCCCGAACUGCCUGAUAAACUCCUUCCUCUACAUUAUGUCAAAUCCUCUUGGUAGGUCAUUUUUGCCAAUCUAGACAAGUUUAAUCGCUCCUUCCUUUAUUUCUAUGCAUACAUGCAGCAUAUAGAAGAACACACCGAAGCCACCCCUUACACAUUAUUACGAAUACUUAUUUACACUUCUGCCUCCCCAGAUUGUCACUUAUUAAAGGCACAGGCCAUUUUGUAUUCAG